ACUCCUACGGGAGGCAGCAGUAGGGAAUAUUGCUCAAUGAGCGAAAGCCUGAAGCAGCAACGCCGCGUGGAGGAUGACACUUUUCGGAGCGUAAACUUCUUUUCUACAAGAAGAACAAUGACGGUAUUGUAGGAAUAAGCACCGGCUAACUCCGUGCCAGCAGCCGCGGUAAU
rnacentral:rRNA from 1 species